UACGGAGGAUGCAAGCGUUAUCCGGAAUGAUUGGGCGUAAAGCAUCCGCAGGUGGCUGUGUAAGUCUGCUGUCAAAGAGCGAAGCUCAACUUCGUAAAGGCAGUGGAAACUACACGGCUAGAGUGCGUUCGGGGCAGAGGGAAUUCCUGGUGUAGCGGUGAAAUGCGUAGAGAUCAGGAAGAACACCGGUGGCGAAGGCGCUCUGCUAGGCCGCAACUGACACUGAGGGACGAAAGCUAAGGGAGCGAAUGGG
rnacentral:rRNA from 1 species